UACGUAGGGGGCAAGCGUUGUCCGGAUUUAUUGGGCGUAAAGAGCGUGUAGGCGGCCAGGUAGGUCGGUUGUGAAAACUAGAGGCUCAACCUCUAGACGUCGACCGAAACCAUCUGGCUAGAGUCCGGAAGAGGAGAGUGGAAUUCCUGGUGUAGCGGUGAAAUGCGCAGAUAUCAGGAAGAACACCGGUGGCGAAGGCGGCUC
rnacentral:rRNA from 1 species